rnacentral:rRNA from 1 species
AUUGAACGCUGGCGGCAUGCUUUACACAUGCAAGUCGAACGGUAACAGGCCGCAAGGUGCUGACGAGUGGCGAACGGGUGAGUAAUGCAUCGGAACGUGCCCAGUCGUGGGGGAUAACGCAGCGAAAGCUGUGCUAAUACCGCAUACGAUCUGCGGAUGAAAGCGGGGGACCUUCGGGCCUCGCGCGAUUGGAGCGGCCGAUGUCAGAUUAGGUAGUUGGUGGGGUAAAGGCUCACCAAGCCAACGAUCUGUAGCUGGUCUGAGAGGACGACCAGCCACACUGGGACUGAGACACGGCCCAGACUCCUACGGGAGGCAGCAGUGGGGAAUUUUGGACAAUGGGCGCAAGCCUGAUCCAGCAAUGCCGCGUGCAGGAAGAAGGCCUUCGGGUUGUAAACUGCUUUUGUACGGAACGAAACGGUCUGGGUUAAUACCCUGGGCUAAUGACGGUACCGUAAGAAUAAGCACCGGCUAACUACGUGCCAGCCGCCGCCGUAA